rnacentral:rRNA from 1 species
AGAUUUGAUCCUGGCUCAGAUUGGAACGCUGGCGCAUGCGUUAACACAGCAAGUCGAACGGUAACAGGAGCUUGCUCUCCUGAGGAGUGGCGAACGGUGAGUAAUCGCCAUCGGAACAGUACCCAGUCGGGGAUAAGCGUAGCGAAAGUUUAACGCUAAUACCGCAUAACGUCCUGAGGGAAAGCGGGACCGUAAAGGCCCUCGCGCGAUUGGAAGCGCCGAUGUCGGAUAAGCUAGUUGGUAGGGUAAAAGGCCUACCAAGGCCACGAUCCGUAGCGGUCCUGAGAGGAUGAUCCAACACACUAGGGACUGAGACACGCCCAGACCUCCUACUGGAGGCAGCAGUGGGGAAUUGACAAUGGGCGAAAGCCUGAUCCAGCCAAUGCCGCGGAAGUGAAAAGGCCUUCGGGGUUGAUAAAGCUCUUCAGCCGAAAGAAAUCGCGCAAGGAUAAUACUCUGCGUGGAUGACGGUAGCCCGGAAGAGAAGCACGGCUAACUAACGUGCCAGCAGCCCGCCGGUAAAUACAGUAGAUGCGAGCGUUUAAUCGGAAUUCAACUAGGGCGUAAAAGCGUGGCGCAGCCUAGGCGGUUUAAUGUAAGACAGACUGGUGAAAUCCCGGCCUCAACCUGGGAACUGCGUUUGGACUGGCAUAUGCUAAGAGUACGGCAGAGGGAGGUGGAAUUCCGCGGUGUAGCAAGUGAAAUGCGUAGAGAUAUGCGAGGAACACCAGAUGGCGAAGGCAGCCUCCUGGGCCAGUACGAGACGCUCAUGCACGAAAGCGUGGGGGAGCAAACAGGAUUAAUACCCUGGUAGUCCACGCCGUAAACGAUGUCAACUAGUCUUGUUCGUGGAGGAGAACUCAUUGAGUAAACGCAGCUAACGCGUGAAGUUGAUGACCGCCUGGGAGUACGGCCGCAAGGUUAAAACUCAAAGAAUUGACGGGACCGCACAAGCGGUGGUGAUGUGGUUAAUUCGAUGCAACGCGAAGAACCUUACCUGGCCCUUGAACAUGUAUGGAAUCACUGUAGAGAUACGGGAGUGCCUUUUUUCCGGAAUCAAGAACACACAAGGUGCUGCAUGGCUGUCGUCAGCUCGUGUCGUGAGAUGUUGGGUUAAGUCCCGCAACGAGCGCAACCCCUGUCCUUUGUUGCCAGCACGUAAUGGUGGGAACUCAAGGGAGACUGCCGGUGAUAAACCGGGGAAGGUGGGGGAUGACGUCAAGUCAUCAUGGCCCUUACGGCCAGGGCUACACACGUGCUACAAUGGCGCGUACAGAGGGCUGCAAGCUAGCGAUAGUGAGCGAAUCCCAAAAAAGCGCGUCGUAGUCCGGAUCGGAGUCUGCAACUCGACUCCGUGAAGUCGGAAUCGCUAGUAAUCGCGAAUCAGAAUGUCGCGGUGAAUACGUUCCCGGGCCUUGUACACACCGCCCGUCACACCAUGGGAGUGGGUUGCACCAGAAGUAGAUAGCUUAACCUUCGGGAGGGCGUUUACCACGGUGUGAUUCAUGACUGGGGUGAAGUCGUAACAAGGUAACCCUAGGGGAACCUGGGGUUG